GAGCGGUACACCGCAAAAUGUGUGCCGUCAACUGUUUCCAACUGACGUGAGAGAUCUGUUGGAGCAUUGAUCAUUCGCUCCUUUUUUCUCUCUAUUUCUUCUAGUGUACACACAAAGUCGUCGCCAAUUGUAUUGCGUGUUGAAUGGGGAAAUCGUCGCCUCCGCCGGAUGAGAAGCAAACACUCGUGAGCGAUGCGUCCGAGUUGAGGCAGUACGGAUCCGCACCACCAAUCCAUUCGUUGACAACAGGUCGAAAUCGGAUGCGCUCGGGCGAAAGCGACGCCAAGACGAUCCAGCAUCAAAUGAGUGGAAUGAACACGGUCCUAAUAACUGCCGGCCAACCAAUGAGCACCGACCGGAAGUCGUUGGCAGCCGCCACAGCAUCGCGACACAAAGAAAUGGAAGAGCCUCAAGACUUUGAAUCGAUCGUCAAAAUCCGCUUGUUUCUCGCAACGGCAGCCCUUUGGCUCCUUUGGCUCCUAGUUUACGUCAUCCUCUCCCACUGGCGCCUUAUUUGAGACAUAACAUACCCCACGAUCCGCACCACAAAUUCCGGCGCCAUUCACGCGCACAUCCUUUCGGGCUCCGGAUCAAAAUCGAAAUGUUUCUCUUAUUUUUUGAAAUUUUUGAAAUUUUUGUAUUUUGUCAUGUGCGGAGAAAUAAUUUCUUUUUUAAGAAUAAAAAGAUGAAAGUGAAAAAGCGGGAAAAAAUGUGGCAAUAACCGACAGUAGAGACAAGAGCCAAUGACUAGUCCAACACACCAAUAAAAGAAGGAAAUCAAUUUUUGGCGGGAAUUUCAAACAAGAAA